rnacentral:rRNA from 1 species
AUGUCGGCGCUGGUGUCCGCCCUGCGCAGCGCCGGGCGGCAGCACCUCACCGCGUCCACCGUCGCCGCGGGGGAGCCCAUCACCGGCUCCCACGUGUUCCGGAUCCACGGCUACAAGCAGGUGAGGAAAACGGUCCCCAACGGCUCGGCGGUCGAGUCACCCGCGUUCGACGUCGGCGGCCACCGCUGGAAAGUACAGUGCUACCCGAACGGCGACCGCAAAGAGGCGGACGGCUCCACGUCCAUCUUCCUUACCAGCCUCGGCAACGCCACGGCAGAGUUCAAGCUUAGCGUGCUCGACCACGACGGGGAGCCCUCGGUGAAUGGAGCCGUGCAGCAGGAACGCUACUCGGCUAAUGGCUACUGGGGCUGGACAAAGUUCCUCGACAAGGAAAAUCCCAACCACACUAAGCAUCUCGAGGAUGAUUGCCUCACGGUCCUUUGCGACGUCACCGUCGACCCCGGGCUGCGCGCGCAAGCCGAGGUGGCGGCGGCGCCACCGUUCGACCUGCGCGGGCAGCUUGCGGAAGCCCUCUGGAACAAGCACCCAGCCGACGUGAUGGUCCACGUCGGCGGCGAGACCUUCGCCGCGCACCGGUGGGUGCUGGAGGCCCGGUCCCCCGUCUUCAAAGCAGACCUCGAGGGAAACGCCACCGGCGAGCUACGUGUCGACGACAUGGACGCGGAGGUGUUCAAGACCCUGCUCCAGUUCAUGUACACGGACAGCGCGCCGCAGCUCGAUACAAUGGCGGACAACCAACUUCCUCACAUGAUGAACGAGCAACCCGAUCAGGCCGAGGCGACGAAGGCGGAGCGGCUGCUCGUGGCGGCGGACAGGCACGGGCUGGAGGACCUGAAGCGCGCCUGCGAGAAGGCGCUGCGGCCGCGCGUGGACAUGGGCUCUGUGGCCGCCAUGCUGUCGCUCGCUGAGCGGCAUGGCUGCGCCGUGGUCAAGGAGGCGUGCAUGGAGUUCCUCUCUUGUCCCGGUAAUCUGAAAUCGUUCAUAGCCACCGAUGGAUUUGAGCAGCUGAGGACAAGCUGCCCUUCUGCGGCGCUGGAGCUCGUCAUCAAGCAGCUGCCGUGA